GAUGAACGCUGGCGGCGUGCCUAAUACAUGCAAGUCGAACGGGGAGUAGCAAUACUCUUAGUGGCGAACGGGUGAGUAACGCGUUGGUACCUGCCCCGAAGCGGGGGAUAACGGACCGAAAGGUCCGCUAAUACCCCAUGUGCUCGGUAACGAGUAAAGGUGAAAACCACUUUGGGAGGGGCCUGCGUCCCCUCAGCUAGUUGGUAAGGUAACGGCUUACCAAGGCGAUGACGGGUAGGGGACCUGAGAGGGUGGCCCCCCACAAUGGAACUGAAACACGGUCCAUACACCUACGGGUGGCAGCAGUAGGGAAUAUUGGUAAUGGGCGCAAGCCUGAACCAGCAGCGCCGCGUGUGCGAUGACGGCCUUCGGGUUGUAAAGCACUUUUGACUGGGACGAGGAAGGACGGUACCGGUCGAAUCAGCCUCGGCUAACUACGUG
rnacentral:rRNA from 1 species